rnacentral:rRNA from 1 species
GACAGAGGGUGCAAACGUUGCUCGGAAUUACUGGGCGUAAAGCGCGUGUAGGCGGUUAUGCAAGUCAGGUGUGAAAGCCCAGGGCUCAACCCUGGAAGUGCACUUGAUACUACGUAGCUAGAGUACUGAAGAGGAGAGCGGAAUUCCCGGUGUAGAGGUGAAAUUCGUAGAUAUCGGGAGGAACACCAGUGGCGAAGGCGGCUCUCUGGACAGAUACUGACGCUGAGACGCGAAAGCGUGGGGAGCAAACAGG